rnacentral:rRNA from 1 species
UCUAGCCAGUUACCUUAUGCUGCUAACACAAAGGAUCAUAUAAGCCCAGCAGGGCCAGACGAGGGCAGUGUUUGGAUGGGAGACCUCUGUGGGAAACCCAGGUUGCUGCAGGAA